GAGCUAAGUUACGUGGAGCUUCAAAAAUAAUAGGUGUUGAUUUAAAUCCAGAAAAAUUUGAAAUUGGGAAGAAGUUUGGACUAACAGAUUUUAUUAACCCUACAACAUGUGGUGAGAAAUCGACUAGCCAGAUAAUAAAAGAGAUGAGUGAUGGUGGAGCUGACUAUUGCUUUGAAUGUAUUGGAUUGGCCUCCUUAAUGCAAGAGGCUUUUACAAGAUCUCGAAAGGGUACUGGAAAGACUGUAAUACUUGGAAUAGAGAUGCACGGCACACCGUUAAGUAUUAACCCUUAUGAAUUGGCGGCUGGAAAAACUAUUACAGGAUCCAUGUUUGGUGGUGUCAAAGCUAAACUUGACAUUCCCAUUUUUGCUAAUCAAUAUUUAAAUAAUGAGUUGAACUUGGAUGGAUUCAUAACACACGAAGUUAACUUUGAAGAUAUUAACAAAGCAUUUGACUUACUUGAAGCAGGCAAAACGUUGCGUUGUAU
rnacentral:misc_RNA from 1 species